GAGGAAUAUUGGUCAAUGGGGGCAACCCUGAACCAGCCAAGUCGCGUGAAGGAUGAAGGUCUUAUGGAUUGUAAACUUCUUUUAUACAGGAAUAAAUUGGGGGACGUGUCCCCUUUUGCAUGUACUGUAUGAAUAAGGAUCGGCUAACUCCGUGCCAGCAGCCGCGGUAAUACGGAGGAUCCGAGCGUUAUCCGGAUUUAUUGGGUUUAAAGGGUGCGCAGGCGGGAUGUUAAGUCGGCGGUGAAAUUUUGCAGCUCAACCGUAAAAGUGCCUUCGAUACUGGCCUCCUUGAGUGUGGAUGAAGUAGGCGGAAUUUGUGGUGUAGCGGUGAAAUGCUUAGAUAUCACGAGGAACUCCGAUUGCGCAGGCAGCUUACUAAGCCACAACUGACGCUCAUGCACGAAGGCGUGGGGAUCAAACA
rnacentral:rRNA from 1 species